CCAGGGACCUCCCAAGCCACCUCCGGAGGCAGACAGCAGCUCAAUCCCACUUACCACGACCAUCCUUGCUAACCUUUUGGCUGACCUCCGACAAAGUCUCUCUGCAGAUAUAUCCCAAGUACGGGAGGAUGUCAGGGGAUUCACAGCCCGUUUAACCAAGGUGGAACAAGCAGUGGAGGAUCACACUCCCCAAAUCGCAGACCUGCAGAAGCAGGUGAGGGACCUCACCACGGCUCAGGCUAACUUUGAC